ACCUGCCAAUGAAUAUUCAACUGUAGGAUGUCCCUGAAUGCUGCUUAAAAGGUAUUCUUACUGAGGUUGUGCAACCAGUCUGAGCCAUGAAAGAGUGGAGCUAAAGGUCAUUACUACACAAAGUUGGAGUUUAAUCACUUCUAGGUACCAUAUAAGAAGCCCUUUUUUUAUUGGUCUUGUGAAAUCUACUCAAAUGCAAUAUGUUGAAUGACAAACACAAAAUAAACUCUAACCCUUCAGCCUAAAUAGUUGCCCUGACAUAGUCAAAUUUGGGGCCAGGAUAUUAUAAGUAAUUUUUUACUGUCUUAAAACAUUUGUGUGAAAGGCAUAGAUGUGUCAUUGAACUGUUUUAACAAUUAGGGAGGCUGCACAUGUAUCUGCAGUUGCUCCGUAGUGCCCAAGAACAGCUGCACAGUACUUUUGUUGCAGGAUGUGGCUGCUGCAUAAAAUUGAAGAAUCUGAGUGAAAUUGCUGCUUCUGUGUUACCAUUGACAAUCUUGCCUUCUCCUCUCUUCAUGCAAAGUUGAAUGGUAUGUGUGCCUGUAAGUGUCUAUGGUUUUAAAACCAGACAAAACAGAAUGUUGAGAUAACUGUAGGUGUUAAAUACAUACAAGUAUGAACUGGUACUCUCUACCUUGCAGGAGAAAAAAAGCAUCUGAUUUCUGUCUUGACCAGCUGACUCUGAGCAUAACUGACAGUUUGCUACUGUUGGAACAGAACAUCAGAUUCCAGCUGAGUUUCCGUGAAGCCUUUGUGUGGCCUCUGGGUAUCUUUGACAGUUCCAUAAACUUUUGGGAGGACGUAAUUUCCCCUUGACUUUCCCUCCAAGGUUCUUCAGCUAAGGACUUAACAUUCAUCAGUCUAAGAGUAUCUCCAAAUAACAGUUAAUUAUCCUACCCAACAUCCUACCAGGUUGGUAAGUAUUCUGCUAUUUAACAGUUAAAGAUAAUUAUGAAAAUACUGAAAAUUUCUGACUGAGAAUCAUAAACAAUUGCAUAAAGAACAUUAUUCCUCCACUUGUGGUGAAGCAUCUGUAUAGAAUUUAUGGACUACUGUGUUACUCAACCCAGCAGCAAUGGGUAC